AAACUUACCUGGCUGGGGGCGUCUCGCGAUCAACAAGGCGGAACCCCCAUGGUGAGGCCCGCACAUUGCACUUUCGCCCGGGCUGACCCGUGUGGCAGUCUCGAACUGAGAUUCGCCAACAGCUAAAUUUUUGUGUGUGGGGCUGCGUACGCGCGGCCCUGA
rnacentral:snRNA from 1 species